rnacentral:rRNA from 1 species
GGGCUUGACAUCCCACGAAUCCCGCCGAAAGGCGGGGGUGCCCGCAAGGGAGCGCGGAGACAGGUGGUGCAUGGCUGUCGUCAGCUCGUGUCGUGAGAUGUUGGGUUAAGUCCCGCAACGAGCGCAACCCUCACCCCUUGUUGCCAUCAGGUCAGGCUGGGCACUCUAGGGGAACUGCCCCGGUCAACGGGGAGGAAGGUGGGGACGACGUCAAGUCAUCAUGCCCCUUACGUCCUGGGCUACACACGUGCUACAAUGGCCGGUACAAAGGGAUGCAAGACCGCGAGGUUGAGCUAAACCCAAAAAGCCGGUCUAAGUUCAGAUUGGAGUCUGCAACUCGACUCCAUGAAGGAGGAAUCGCUAGUAAUCGCGCAUCAGCACGGCGCGGUGAAUACGUUCCCGGGCCUUGUACACACCGCCCGUCACACCACGAAAGCCCGUUGUACUCGAAGUCGCUGAG